AUUGAACGCUGGCGGCAGGCCUAACACAUGCAAGUCGAGCGGAUGAAGGGAGCUUGCUCCUGGAUUCAGCGGCGGACGGGCGAGUAAUGCCUAGGAAUCUGCCUGGUAGUGGGGGAUAACGUCCGGAAACGGGAGCUAAUACCGCAUACGUCCUGAGGGAGAAAGUGGGGGAUCUUCGGACCUCACGCUAUCAGAUGAGCCUAGGUCGGAUUAGCUAGUUGGGGGGGUAAAGGCCUACCAAGGCGACGAUCCGUAACUGGUCUGAGAGGAUGAUCAGUGACACUGGAACUGAGACACGUUCCAGACUCCUACGGGAGGCAGCAGUGGGGAAUAUUGGACAAUGGGCGAAAGCCUGAUCCAGCCAUGCCGCGUGUGUGAAGAAGGUCUUCGGAUUGUAAAGCACUUUAGGUUGGGAGGAAGGGCAGUAAGUUAAUAUCUUGCUGUUUUGACGUUACCAACAGAAUAAGCACCGGCUAACUUCGUG
rnacentral:rRNA from 1 species